rnacentral:misc_RNA from 1 species
CCGAGUUUACAAACUCCCAAACCCCUGUGAACAUACCAAAUCGUUGCUUCGGCGGGAUCGCCCCGGCGCCCCCGGGCCCGGACCCAGGCGCCCGCCGGAGGACCUAAACUCUUGUCUUUUAGGGUGUAUCUUCUGAGUGACACAAGCAAAUAAAAUCA